UGGACCGACCCUUCGGGGAGCUUGUACAGGUGCUGCAUGGCUGUCGUCAGCUCGUGUCGUGAGAUGUUCGUUAAGUCCGCUAACGAGCGCAACCCUCGCUGUGUGUUACAAGUGUCACACGGAACUGCCGGUCAUAAACCGGAGGAAGGUGGGGAUGACGUCAAGUCAGCAUGGCCUUUAUAUCCUGGGCUACACACACGCUACAAUGGGAAGGGACAAUAGGUUGCGAAGCCGCGAGGCGGAGCCAAUCCAGCAAAACUUCCCUCAGUUCAGAUUGCAGGCUGCAACCCGCCUGCAUGAAGUUGGAGUUGCUAGUAAACGCAGGUCAGCCAUACUGCGUUGAAUACGUUCCCGGGGCUU
rnacentral:rRNA from 1 species